AGCAAUCUACCUUGGAGUGGGGAAUAACACAGUGAAAACUGUGCUAAUACCGCAUAAUACAACUGUGUCGCAUGGCAGUGGUUGUCAAAGAUUUAUCGCUCUGAGAUGAGCUCGCGUCUGAUUAGCUAGUAGGCGGGGUAAAGGCCCACCUAGGCGACGAUCAGUAGCCGGACUGAGAGGUUGGCCGGCCACAUUGGGACUGAGACACGGCCCAGACUCCUACGGGAGGCAGCAG
rnacentral:rRNA from 1 species